UACAGAGGUCCCAAGCGUUGUUCGGAUUCACUGGGCGUAAAGGGUGCGUAGGCGGUCGGGUAAGUCUGAUGUGAAAUCUCACAGCUUAACUGUGAAACUGCAUUGGAUACUAUUCGGCUAGAGAGUUGGAGGGGGGACUGGAAUUCUUGGUGUAGCAGUGAAAAUGCGUAGAUAUCAAGAGGAACACCAGUGGCGAAGGCGGCUUUUUGGUCUGUAACUGACGCUGAGGCGCGAAAGCGUGGGGAGCAAACAGG
rnacentral:rRNA from 1 species